rnacentral:tRNA from 1 species
GCUCUGUUGGAGAAGCGGCUUAACUCAAUGCCCUCUCAAGGCAUCAUUCACGGGUUCGAAUCCCGUACAGAGUACCA